GGACUACGCGGGUAUCUAAUCCGGUUUGCUCCCCCAGCUUUCGUCCCUCACUGUCGAAGCCGUUCUGGUGAGGCGCCUUCGCCACAGGUGGUCCCUCGAGGAUUACAGGAUUUCACUCCUACCCCCGAAGUACCCCUCACCUCUCCCGGUUCCUAGAUUGCCAGUAUCCCUUAGACGCCUGACGGUUGAGCCGUCAGAUUUCCCAAGAGACUUAACAACCCAGCUACGAACGCUUUAAGCCCAAUAAAAGUGGCCACCACUCGAGCCGCCGGUAUUACCGCGGCGGCUGGCACCGGUCUUGCCCGGCCCUUUCUUCAGGUGUGUUUUAGACACCCGAACAGCCUGCAUGUACAGGCACUCGAGGUUCCCUUAUCACGGUUGCCCGCAUUGUAAAGUUUUCGCGCCUGCUGCCCCCCAUAGG
rnacentral:rRNA from 1 species